rnacentral:rRNA from 1 species
UUAAGCGACUAAGCGUACACGGUGGAUGCCCUGGCAGUCAGAGGCGAUGAAGGACGUGCUAAUCUGCGAUAAGCGUCGGUAAGGUGAUAUGAACCGUUAUAACCGGCGAUUUCCGAAUGGGGAAACCCAGUGUGUUUCGACACACUAUCAUUAACUGAAUCCAUAGGUUAAUGAGGCGAACCGGGGGAACUGAAACAUCUAAGUACCCCGAGGAAAAGAAAUCAACCGAGAUUCCCCCAGUAGCGGCGAGCGAACGGGGAGCAGCCCAGAGCCUGAAUCAGUAUGUGUGUUAGUGGAAGCGUCUGGAAAGGCGCGCGAUACAGGGUGACAGCCCCGUACACAAAAAUGCACAUAUUGUGAGCUCGAUGAGUAGGGCGGGACACGUGGUAUCCUGUCUGAAUAUGGGGGGACCAUCCUCCAAGGCUAAAUACUCCUGACUGACCGAUAGUGAACCAGUACCGUGAGGGAAAGGCGAAAAGAACCCCGGCGAGGGGAGUGAAAAAGAACCUGAAACCGUGUACGUACAAGCAGUGGGAGCACGCUUAGGCGUGUGACUGCGUACCUUUUGUAUAAUGGGUCAGCGACUUAUAUUCUGUAGCAAGGUUAACCGAAUAGGGGAGCCGAAGGGAAACCGAGUCUUAACUGGGCGUUAAGUUGCAGGGUAUAGACCCGAAACCCGGUGAUCUAGCCAUGGGCAGGUUGAAGGUUGGGUAACACUAACUGGAGGACCGAACCGACUAAUGUUGAAAAAUUAGCGGAUGACUUGUGGCUGGGGGUGAAAGGCCAAUCAAACCGGGAGAUAGCUGGUUCUCCCCGAAAGCUAUUUAGGUAGCGCCUCGUGAAUUCAUCUCCGGGGGUAGAGCACUGUUUCGGCAAGGGGGUCAUCCCGACUUACCAACCCGAUGCAAACUGCGAAUACCGGAGAAUGUUAUCACGGGAGACACACGGCGGGUGCUAACGUCCGUCGUGAAGAGGGAAACAACCCAGACCGCCAGCUAAGGUCCCAAAGUCAUGGUUAAGUGGGAAACGAUGUGGGAAGGCCCAGACAGCCAGGAUGUUGGCUUAGAAGCAGCCAUCAUUUAAAGAAAGCGUAAUAGCUCACUGGUCGAGUCGGCCUGCGCGGAAGAUGUAACGGGGCUAAACCAUGCACCGAAGCUGCGGCAGCGACGCUUAUGCGUUGUUGGGUAGGGGAGCGUUCUGUAAGCCUGCGAAGGUGUGCUGUGAGGCAUGCUGGAGGUAUCAGAAGUGCGAAUGCUGACAUAAGUAACGAUAAAGCGGGUGAAAAGCCCGCUCGCCGGAAGACCAAGGGUUCCUGUCCAACGUUAAUCGGGGCAGGGUGAGUCGACCCCUAAGGCGAGGCCGAAAGGCGUAGUCGAUGGGAAACAGGUUAAUAUUCCUGUACUUGGUGUUACUGCGAAGGGGGGACGGAGAAGGCUAUGUUGGCCGGGCGACGGUUGUCCCGGUUUAAGCGUGUAGGCUGGUUUUCCAGGCAAAUCCGGAAAAUCAAGGCUGAGGCGUGAUGACGAGGCACUACGGUGCUGAAGCAACAAAUGCCCUGCUUCCAGGAAAAGCCUCUAAGCAUCAGGUAACAUCAAAUCGUACCCCAAACCGACACAGGUGGUCAGGUAGAGAAUACCAAGGCGCUUGAGAGAACUCGGGUGAAGGAACUAGGCAAAAUGGUGCCGUAACUUCGGGAGAAGGCACGCUGAUAUGUAGGUGAAGUCCCUCGCGGAUGGAGCUGAAAUCAGUCGAAGAUACCAGCUGGCUGCAACUGUUUAUUAAAAACACAGCACUGUGCAAACACGAAAGUGGACGUAUACGGUGUGACGCCUGCCCGGUGCCGGAAGGUUAAUUGAUGGGGUUAGCCGCAAGGCGAAGCUCUUGAUCGAAGCCCCGGUAAACGGCGGCCGUAACUAUAACGGUCCUAAGGUAGCGAAAUUCCUUGUCGGGUAAGUUCCGACCUGCACGAAUGGCGUAAUGAUGGCCAGGCUGUCUCCACCCGAGACUCAGUGAAAUUGAACUCGCUGUGAAGAUGCAGUGUACCCGCGGCAAGACGGAAAGACCCCGUGAACCUUUACUAUAGCUUGACACUGAACAUUGAGCCUUGAUGUGUAGGAUAGGUGGGAGGCUUGGAAGUGUGGACGCCAGUCUGCAUGGAGCCGACCUUGAAAUACCACCCUUUAAUGUUUGAUGUUCUAACGUUGACCCGUAAUCCGGGUUGCGGACAGUGUCUGGUGGGUAGUUUGACUGGGGCGGUCUCCUCCUAAAGAGUAACGGAGGAGCACGAAGGUUGGCUAAUCCUGGUCGGACAUCAGGAGGUUAGUGCAAUGGCAUAAGCCAGCUUGACUGCGAGCGUGACGGCGCGAGCAGGUGCGAAAGCAGGUCAUAGUGAUCCGGUGGUUCUGAAUGGAAGGGCCAUCGCUCAACGGAUAAAAGGUACUCCGGGGAUAACAGGCUGAUACCGCCCAAGAGUUCAUAUCGACGGCGGUGUUUGGCACCUCGAUGUCGGCUCAUCACAUCCUGGGGCUGAAGUAGGUCCCAAGGGUAUGGCUGUUCGCCAUUUAAAGUGGUACGCGAGCUGGGUUUAGAACGUCGUGAGACAGUUCGGUCCCUAUCUGCCGUGGGCGCUGGAGAACUGAGGGGGGCUGCUCCUAGUACGAGAGGACCGGAGUGGACGCAUCACUGGUGUUCGGGUUGUCAUGCCAAUGGCACUGCCCGGUAGCUAAAUGCGGAAGAGAUAAGUGCUGAAAGCAUCUAAGCACGAAACUUGCCCCGAGAUGAGUUCUCCCUGACUCCUUGAGAGUCCUGAAGGAACGUUGAAGACGACGACGUUGAUAGGCCGGGUGUGUAAGCGCAGCGAUGCGUUGAGCUAACCGGUACUAAUGAACCGUGAGGCUUAACCUU